rnacentral:rRNA from 1 species
UACGACGGGGGCUAGCGUUGCUCGGAAUCACUGGGCGUAAAGGGUGCGUAGGCGGCUUGUUAAGUCAGGGGUGAAAUCCUGGAGCUCAACUCCAGAACUGCCUUUGAUACUGGCAAGCUUGGAGUCCGGGAGAGGUGAGUGGAACUGCGAGUGUAGAGGUGAAAUUCGUAGAUAUUCGCAAGAACACCAGUGGCGAAGGCGGCUCACUGGCCCGGUACUGACGCUGAGGUGCGAAAGCGUGGGGAGCGAACAGG